rnacentral:rRNA from 1 species
UACGUAGGGUGCAAGCGUUAAUCGGAAUUACUGGUCGUAAAGCGUGCGCAGGCGGUCCGCUAAGACAGAUGUGAAAUCCCCGGGCUUAACCUGGGAACUGCAUUUGUGACUGGCGGGCUAGAGUAUGGCAGAGGGGGGUAGAAUUCCACGUGUAGCAGUGAAAUGCGUAGAGAUGUGGAGGAAUACCGAUGGCGAAGGCAGCCCCCUGGGCCAAUACUGACGCUCAUGCACGAAAGCGUGGGGAGCAAACAGG